rnacentral:rRNA from 1 species
UCUACGGGUGGCAGCAGUAGGGAAUAUUGCUCAAUGGGGGAAACCCUGAAGCAGCAACGCCGCGUGGAGGAUGAAGGUUUUAUGAUUGUAAACUCCUUUUUUUCGAGAAGAUUAUGACGGUAUCUAACGACUAACCACCGUCUCACUCCGUGCCAGCAGCCGCGGUAACACGGAGGGUGCCAGCGUUACUCGGAAUCACUGGGCGUAAAGAGUGCGUAGGCGGGGUAAUAAGUCAGCUGUGAAAUCCUGUAGCUUAACUGCAGAAGUGCAUUUGAAACUGUUACUCUGGAGUGUGGGAGAGGUAGGUGGAAUUCUUGGUGUAGGGGUAAAAUCCGUAGAGAUCAAGAGGAAUACUCAUUGCGAAGGUGACCUGCUGGAACAUAACUGACGCUGAUGCACGAAAGCGUGGGGAUCAAACAGGAUUAGAUACCCCAGUAGUC